rnacentral:rRNA from 1 species
AUAUCAGUCAUGCAUAGCAUAUCAAUAAGCGGAGGAAAAGAAACUAACAAGGAUUCCCCUAGUAACGGCGAGUGAAGCGGGAAGAGCUCAAAUUUGAAAUCUUAAAGGGUUUCCCUUUACGAAUUGUAGUUUAAAGAAGUGUUUUCUGUUAGAGUUUCGGUAAAAGUUCUUUGGAAUAGGACAUCAUAGAGGGUGAGAAUCCCGUAUUUGACCGUUAUUUCUAGCUUUGUGAUACACUUUCAAAGAGUCGGAUUGUUUGGGAAUGCAGUCCAAAAUGGGUGGUAAAUUUCAUCUAAAGCUAAAUAUUGGCGAGAGACCGACUAGCGAACAAGUACCGUGAGGGAAAGAUGAAAAGAACCUUGAAAAGAGAGUUAAACAGUACGUGAAAUUGUCAAAAGGGAAGCGUUUGACACCAGUGUUGUUUAAUUGAAAAUCAAUUAACUAAUUUUUGAUUUUAAAUAGUAUUGACUUUAUCAGCCUGCUAUUUUCUUUUCGGAAAUUAUUUAAUGCACUUUUCAGUUAACAAGUCAACAUCAAUUUCUUUUGUUGUAAAAAGGUAAGAGGAAGGUGGCUUAUGCUUCGGUAUAAGUGUUUAUAGCCUUUUACCUCUGCAAUCGGAGAGAUUGAGGUCUGCAGCGUAGAUCCUUCGGGGUUAGAUACAUUUGUGCUAAGUUAGUAGUAUUUUAUAGACAACUUGUUGACUAUGAUUUAUCAUGUAGCUUACUCGCCUAUGCUAUUUUACCUACGCUUAGGAUGUUGACGAUCAGCUGAGCGCG